CAAGAGUAAACAACAAUACAAUAUCUCCCUUUCAUUGUCAUGCCAACUAUACACAGUAAAUCUUUGAAAGAAAAUUUUAAACAAAAUUAAUCUCAAUUUGUAACAGUUAUGACCAGAGAAGCCCUAUAAUUUUCAUGUUUUCAUAUUCAUGGCCUUCAAUCCCUAGAAUGAAACUUCAAUAUCAUCAGAAAAGUCCAAAAUAAGCCUAAAUUCAAUAAAAUUCAAAAUGUACCUGUUUUUAUGGUUUUCCUGAGCGAGGUCGAGUGAGAGCGAUUGAAGCAGAUAUCGACGCCAAUAUUCAACCAGAGAGUGACGCCGAGCGUGAGCGAUUGAACGUGACAGCGACGCCGAGAUUGAACCACAGAUCAACUUCGAUCGACUAAGAUUAGGGUAGAGAGCGAUUUCCUGCUCAACUGGGAUUUAUCUACAUGCGGAGAGCGAUGGAGUCGACAGAUAUUUAACAAGAGCGCGACGUGGCCUGAUUGAUGGAAUCACGAAGAUCAUGAAGAACCCUAAACCAAAGAUCGUUAUCGAGUGUCAGAGAGAGAUAGAGAGAGUGGCAGAGGUGAGAGUUCGGUUGAUUGUGGAGAGUGGGAGUCUAGGAGAACGUGGUAAUUUUUUUUUUUUUACAUGAGAGAGAACGUGUAAUUAAUUAAUAUCACAAGGGUAUAAUAUUAAUUGUUAGAGGAGUUAAAACAUUAAUCUUACUCAAAAGUUUUUCAUUUAAAUGGGCUUUACAAUUCUUGUUUUUUAGUAAAUGUUUAUUUUCCCAACAAAGUAUGUGUGUAUAUAUAUAUGUAUAUUUUUCUUGCUUUAUUUUAUUCACAAUUUUUUUAUUAUAUAUUUUUGGUUCUUGUUAUUAUAUAUAGUGUACAACAUCAACAAGAGCUGGAUGCAAUUAGGGAGGGGGUCCCCAGUUUAUAUGAGAGGCAUUUUUGAUUUUCUUGAGUUCGUGCGUCUACAUAGUCCUCCAGACAAAGUUAUUCACAUAUGUCCGUGUAACAAAUGUCUCAAUCGGACAUCAGUAACAUAUGAAGACAUGUAUUCUCACUUGGCACUAAACGGUAUUUGUUCUAGUUAUACCCCAUGGACAUGGCACGGCGAAAAUCAAGUUCAAAUGCCUACAUUUGCAGAAAUUCAAGCACAACAUAAUCAGCAGGCAGGAUCUUCCAAUGCUAGUUACGGAGACCCUGCUGUGAUGAACCUCUUAAACGAUGCCUUCCCGUUCGCCGCCUCAGGAUAUCAGCAAAAUGUUGUUUAUGACAACGCCCCUGACACCUUCCCAAAUGUCUCCCACGUUGACUAUAGCAGUGAUUAUGAUAAUUACAACAGGCUUGUACGAGAAGUACAAACCCCAUUGUAUCCUGGUAGUGAGCAUACUGUGUUGGGUAUCGCCAUGGAGCAAAUGCAGAUAAAAAACAAGCAGGGAAAGACUAAGACAUGUUUUGAUGCGGAUAUUGCACUUAUGAAGAAAGUGCUUCCCAAAGUUAACAGUUGUCCGGAAAAUUUCGACCAGGUAACAAGGAUGUUAGCUGGCCUCGGUCUUGAUCACCAAAAUAUAGACGCCUGCGUCAAUAACUGCUUCUUCUAUUACAAAGACAACAAGGAUGAAGUUGGGUGCCCACACUGCUACAAGCCAAGGUAUGAAGCUUCCACUUCAUCUAAGAAGAAAAAGCCCAUUCCUAGGAAGGUUCUUCGUUAUUUCCCGUUAGGUCCUCGUUUGCAACGUCUGUACAUGUCUUCCCAUACGGCCAAACAUAUGAGAUGGCACCAGGCAAGGCACCAGCGAGAGGAGAGGAUAGAUCUAGAUAAUCUCACACACCUCGCAGACGGGGAGGCUUGGAAGCACUUUGACCGUUCUUUUCCCGAAUUUGCUGGAGGCUAUCGAAAUGUCAGACUCAGACUUGCAACAGACGGAUUCAAUCCUACUGGAAACAUGAAUUUGUCUUACAGCAUUUGGCCUGUGAUAGUAUUUCUGUACAAUCUACCUCCCAACAUGUGUAUGAGGAAAGAGUACAAUUUCCUUACACUUAUGGUUCCAGGGCCGUGUUCUCCAGAAAAGUGCUUGGAUGUGUACAUGAGACCAUUAAUUGACGAGUUGCAGGAGUUAUGGGAAAACGGACUCCCUACUUUUGACAAGCAUGGUCAAACUUCAUUCAUGAUGAAAGCAGCUGUUAUUUGGACCAUCAGUGAUUUUCCAGCUUACGGGAUAUUGUCUGGCCAACAAACUAAGGGGUACAAGGCUUGCCCGGUAUGCAUAGAUGACGUCAAUUCUAGUUGGCACGCCGACAAAAUUUGUUUCUUAGGAUCUCGUAGACAUCUUCCCGAGGAUCACGAGUGGCGGUUGGAUGCUGAUGCAUUUGAUGGGACUGAGGAGCAUAAUCCGAAACCCCCAGGGAGGUGUGGUGAAUGGAUUUUGGAGAGGCUUAACCAGCACUAGUUCGGAUAUUUGAGCACGAGUAAAGAAGUAACUGACUUGAAUCCUCCCACGCCUGAUGAGUUUAAGUAUUGGACGCACAAAAGUGUAUUCUUUGAAUUGCCUUACUGGUUGACCUUGAAAAUCAGACACAACUUGGACGUCAUGCACAUAGAAAAGAAUGUUUGUGACAGCGUUCUUUGAACAAUUCUGAAUCUCAAACAUAAGAACAAAGACACCGCCAAAGCCCAUGUUGAUCUUAAGAUGAUGGGUAUACACUCCCAGCUAUGGCUAGUAGAGAGCAAAAAAGCAAAAAAAGCCGUAAUGCCGAAAGCAGACUACACAGUUCAUCCUCAAAAGAAGGCAGAAGUGUUUCAGUGGUUUGAAAACGUUAAGUAUCCUCACGGGUAUGCAGGGAAUAUCGCUCGAUGUAUUGAUGGGGGAAAAUAAGAUUAGUGGGUUGAAGACUCAUGACUGUCAUGUUUUGCUGCAACGUCUUCUUCCCGUGGUCAUUAGACCGUAUUUGCAGAGUGAUGUGGUUGACACGUUAAUGGCUUUGUCAAAGUUCUUUCAGAGGAUAUGCGCUAAGGAGCUUAAAAAGUCUGAUGUUCGGUCAUUGCAAGAAGACAUUGUGUACAUCAUGUGCAAGCUGGAGAGGAUNNNNNNNNNNNNNNNNNNNNNNNNNNNNNNNNNNNNNNNNNNNNNNNNNNNNNNNNNNNNNNNNNNNNNNNNNNNNNNNNNNNNNNNNNNNNNNNNNNNNNNNNNNNNNNNNNNNNNNNNNNNNNNNNNNNNNNNNNNNNNNNNNNNACAGUUCCCAACUGUACUUGGAAAUAAUAAAUAUCACUUGACACGUCCCACGUGUCGACUAAAAUUAGCAAGAGAGUUCCAAGAAAAAUAAAUGGAACUCAAUAAUCCAACCAAAUAUUAUAUCUCUAAAUACCUUUGAAAUUAGAUAAUUUAGCGCAUGCAAGAUAUUAAAAUCAAAGGUCCACUCACAGUGCUCGGCUAUGCUUGCCGACGGCCCGAGGCUUCCUCCAAAUGAUCCUCCUCACGUCCUGAACAAUAAAUAAUCAUUAAGCCUCCAAACCAGGACAAAACUUUAAUAAAAUUUCCGAAAUAAAAAGGAAGCCUAUAAUUUCAUUUCUCUUGCCCAACUUCUCCACAUUUUACCUAAUAAGGCUCACAUUACUCCGCACUUACCAAAAGCCAUAAUUUAACCUUUUUAGACUUUACAACCUGCUAAACCAACUGCCGGAUUUCCAUUUGAAUAACCGCUUAAAUCCUUUAUCAUUGAUAAAUCCCAAACGUUAUCAAAUCUCCUCCAAAUAUUCCCAACUAUACUUCAUUAAACUCCUCUCAUUAAAACAAACCUAAAAUCAUGAAAAACUGCUCCUAAGGGGCGGCGGUGCAGGCUGCCCCGCCGGCGGCGGCGGCCGGCAGCCGAAUUCCGGCGAGGGCCAAUGCUUCUCAAAUUUUCACAGAAUAUUCCUCUCAUCAUGCUUAACAACAUUCAUAACUAGCACUUAGUCCAUUUCUAAAGCUAACUAGGGCAAACGAAUCAAAACUUCCAUAAAUCCCUAAAAACUUCAAUUAUACAUUUCUCCAUAACAACAACGAAAUAGACUAAUUCCUUUUGAGGGAAUACUCACCUUAAUGAGCGCUACAAGAUGAGCCAAAGAUUCCGACCUAUGGUGGCCGGAGGUGGGAUUUCCGGCAAAAAGCUUCCCGGCAUCUCCGGCGAGUUUUCUCCUCUUCAGGCGGGUUAACGGCUCGGGGGCUAGGCCGGGGAGAGAGAGGAGGUGAUGGGGGUCAGAACUGGGGUGGGCUGGCAGCUGGUGGCUGGCCGAACGGCGGCAGCUGACUUCCGGCGGAGAAGGGCUCGAGGGAAACUCACGGGAGAAAGAUGGAGAAGGAAGAGGGGAAGAGAGAAAAUGAGGGGGAGAUUUUGGGCUGCUCCACAGCCGGCCCAGCUAUAAAACCCAACAAAAAAAAUAAUGCCCACUAAUAUUUACCCCCUUUUUACCAUCUCAUAAAAUUACUCUCUUAUUUCAUAACUUUUUCAUGUUAACUCUGAUUUUAACACAUAGCAUGUCUACGAACUCAUAAAAACGUCCUCUACGACUUUCAUGAAGAAAGUUUUUCCGAAUUCCAAACGCAAGAAAAAGUCAACUCUAGGGUCCUUAAGUGGUAAACGGUGUCUUAACACAGUAAAAGACCAAAAUAAUACCAAAGUAAAUAACCGUAAAAUAACUUAAGAACCGGGGUGUGACAUCGACAAUAACUUCCAAUCCCCACUUGCCAAUUUUACCACUGCAAUACUCCAAAUAGAAGCUAAAUUCAUGGAAUAGACUACCUUAAGAUCUACAUCCCACUCAUCCUCUUAGGAAUUAUCCUCAUCAGCUAACAACAACAACUAAAGCAAAGAACAAUUAUUUGAGAUCAACAACUCCAAUUACACUCCUUUAACUACCCUUAUGUAUCGCCAUACAUAUUACCAAUUUAAAUUCAUUCUGACACUCUUCUCUCCUAACAAUCACUCGAUCUAAAACCACAAUUUCUAACCAACCACCACUUCGAAUUUACAACUUCAACCUUUCUUACAUCAAUGACUAAAGAUAUCGAAGAUUGAGAUUACCUUUAGAUGAUAGGGGUUCGUCAGUAAUCUCCUGCGACAGCCAAAAGACUUAAAAUCUGGAACGAGUCCGCUUCCAAACACUAUUUUGUCCAUAAACAUAUUGCUUAAAACAAAACAAAUUCAAACUCUAUUGCCGUAAAAUCAAAGCGACCACAACCAUCUCACAUCCGCUUCACCAUUAUAUACCAACGCCAUUUACACUUGCAAUCCUUCCAAAACACUCAACACAAAUAGGUGAGCAAAUCCCAAAUUACAAUUAUCAAACCUAAAUCGACCAAUAACAAUUCCAGAAACCACUCUUCAAUACAUAAAAUUCGGAAGAAAAGCAUAACAGUCCCACAUAACACCUCAAUUAAUCUCCACAACUUAUUCGCUCAAACAAUAGCUUUCCACAUUAUAUUUCCAAACCAAGCAACACUUACACAUUAACACCUUUAUGACAUCUCUUAUUUCAGCACCAAUCUUAUCUAGCAAUUCUCAAUCCUUUAUUCACAUGCAUGUCCUCUCUAUCAAAAAUACCCACAAAAAGGCUCAACUUACCACUCAAAUGAAAGCCGACAACACUUUAAAUAAGGAAUAAAACACUGCAAUUACAUGCCAUUUCCCAACUCAUAAUUGACCUCAAAACCUCGCAACCACAAUAAAGCAUGAAGGAAAGGUGCAAAUCACUUACCUUUCCAUUACUUAGAAAAUAACCAAGAUAUUCUUUGAGGUUGGCGUACGGAGGUAUAGUCUUGAAGAUGUAGACAUUUAUGGCACAAUAUUGUCCAUAAAUAAGAUAAGAACAACUACCUCACAUACCUAAUAAACACAUAGCAUCUAAUGCAUAUAAUGCUAAUGGAUCCGCCGCGGUCGGACCAUCACUCUAUAGACACUAAGUAUCACCAAGUAUAUAAGGUAGUGAUAAGAAUCGGAUAACCUGGCUCUGAUACCAACUAUCAGGACUCACCCCAAAUUUCAUCCUGAAAUCCGAAGUAAAUUCUGUGGGGACCACCUUCAAGGAAAAUUUACUGAAAAAUCGGCAUAGCCUUCCUUGAAAAUGGACAACCCUUUCCUGAAAAAUCAAACUUAACACUUCUAUAAUCAAACCUCCAUCCUCAACUCCUGGAGCCUUCAUGCUCCCUAAGUUCAACACAUCUCCCAAUAUAUUAAAUACUAAACUUCGGGAAUUCCACAACCAACAACAAAGACAUCAUUUCUUCACUAACAGGUUAUCAGAGCAUAUCUAGUAAUAAAAGAAUAACAAUAAAUAAAGAUUAAGCGGAAGCAGCCUUUGACUAUGCCUCGACUCCAUGUAAGCUCAACCUCAAAUAACUUAGCCUGCAAACUGGGCAUUUAUAAACCAAAGGGCACAGGGGAAAGUAAUUUAAAAAAAGUUAGAGUGAGUGGACGAAAAUAAAUAAAUUACAAUAACUUAACAAUUAUAAAACUUAUAUACUUUCNNNNNNNNNNNNNNNNNNNNNNNNNNNNNNNNNNNNNNNNNNNNNNNNNNNNNNNNNNNNNNNNNNNNNNNNNNNNNNNNNNNNNNNNNNNNNNNNNNNNNNNNNNNNNNNNNNNNNNNNNNNNNNNNNNNNNNNNNNNNNNNNNNNNNNNNNNNNNNNAAUAAAAUAAGGGGAAGAGUUAUCACCAUGAAAAAGGAGCCUCCCAGGCUCGGGUCGAUGUCUCCCAGGCUAUAAUAGUGUCCCACGCUAAGCGCUCAACUCACAUAUGAUGAGGACCACUAAAUAAGGCUAUAAUAGCGUCCCACGCUAAGUGCUCAACUCACAUAUGAUGAGGACCGCUAAUAAGGCUAGCUAACUAAUAAAUAAAAAUACCGAUCGGUUGCCUCCCAGGCUAUAAUAGCGUCCCACGCUAAGCGCUCUACUCACCUAUGGUGAGGACCGCUAAUAAUGGUUAGCUAGCAAUGAACAAUAUAAGCGGCCCUAUAUUAUGGUCACUAAAAACAUACAAAGUCACUUAAAUCCAUUAACUUCCCCAAUAUCAAAUGAAUGGUACGGUUCCCAACCGUAUUUGAAAAUCAUCAUAAGAAAUUAUAUUAAAACUCAAUGACGUGUCUUACACGUCAAAAUAUUCUCGAAACCAUACUAUAAGCGAGGGUUUCAAUAUCAAAUAUAACUCAUAAAUAACAAUAUCUCCACUCGAAAAUACUCGCUAAAAUAUUCUCCAAGUCAAAAUCAUUAUGCCUCAAAUAAACAAUUAAAUUAUGAUGGAGAACUACCGAAAAUCUCAUUUUCGAUAAUCAUUUAUUAAUCCCAAAGUCACCAUUAAAUCAAUCACAAUGAAAUCCAAAACUUAUAAAAUAACCAAACUCAAAUAUCAAAUUAAUAAAUCGAGCUUAAAUCCAUAAAUCAUGACCAACCGUUAAUUAAUGCAUCACACUCAAAUAAUUUUCAAGAUCAUCUCAUGAGCCGAAAAUUAUAAUACAUGCUUGGAAAAAUAAAAUGAUAAUUUAUAAAAUCUUGCAUGCAUAUUUAAUUAAACCAAAACGUCCACUCACAACUUUAGGCAUAAGCCCGACGAUAACCGCAUCGCCACUCAAGCGAGGUUCCCUUCGCAUCCUGGCACAACAACCAUGCUUAGAACCAAACUUCAAUUCCAGAAACAAAUACUUCAAUAAAAACAUCCAACUCUCUUCCGUUUAACCCACUACUCUUAAUAGGGUUAAACUCGCCGGAUUCGCACCAAACUCCACUACAACCUUAAUUCAUCAAUCCUAACAUUCUAUAAUAAAUACCAAGGAAAUCCAACGGCCGGAUUUUUAUUCUAAUAAUCGGCAAAAUCCUUAAUCUUUUAAAAAAAUCCCAAACCUUAUCAAAACUCCUCCAAAAAUUCCAAACUUCACAUCAUUAAACUCCCCUUAACAUAACAUUUAAAACCCUGAAAAGCACCCUUACAGUGGCGGCGCCGCCGUCUGCUCCGCCGGCAGCAACGGCCGGCGGCCGACUCGGGCGACCCCCAAUGGCUACCAAAUUUUAAUAGCAUCUUCCUCUCAACAUCCCAAACAACUUUCAUAACUAUCACUAAGUUCAAUUUCAAGCCUUAAUAGGGUAAUCGAAGCCAAACAUAUCAAGAAAACCCUAGGAAAUUCAAACAUCCGAUUCUCCUUACCUAGCUCGAGUUAGGAUGUAUCCUUUUAGGUGUUUGUUGCUGGAAGGGAGAGCUUCCAAAUGAUACCAACAGCUCCGGCUAUGGUGGCCGGAAAAGGGAUUUUUAGGCGAAAACCCCACCACGCACAGCCGCGGCUUUCCGGCAUGAUUUCUCCUUCACGGCGGCGCGACACCGGCUGUCACCUACCUAGACUUGUAAAGGAUGCUCCAAGCUUCAAAUCGAUACCAAGCACGCCACCUAGCUCGGCCGGACGGCGGCGGAUGGAGGUGAUGAAGUUGCCGGUCGGAGGAGAGGCGCGGGAGAGAGAAGAGAGAGUGAGGGGGUGAAACUGAUUUCUUACCUUACCCAUCCGGUAAGUUUCCAAUUUUAUACCCCCAACCAAAAUAGUAACUUUUGUUUUUAGACCAUAACUUAUUCAUACGAACUCCGAUUUAAGCGUGUCACGUGUCUACGAACUCCGCUUAACGUCCUCUAUGACUUUCAUGAAGAAAGUUUUUUCCAAAUUUUAGACGAAAGAAAAAGUCAACUUUUGGAGCCUUAAAUAGUAAACGGUUACUCAAAACGGUAAACGCCAAAGUAACCCAAAAGUAAAUAACCGCAAAUUGACUUCAGAACAGGGAUGUGACAUUGGAGGUCGCCGGAGUCGACCGCCGCUGCCGGCAGAGCAGACAGCGACGCCGUCGCUGUUAGGGGGAUUUUCAUAGUUUUAAAUGUGUUAUUUUAAGGGAAGUCUUUUGAUAUGAAGUUUGGAAUUUUGGAUAGGUUUGGGAUUUUUCAAAGUUUGCUAUUUUGGUGGUUAAUUGGGGUAGAAUCCGGCCAUUAGAUUAAUGAGGUUUAGACUGUAGAAGGGUGUAAUAAGGCUACCGGUAUUUUUCGAUGAAGUUUGGAUCAUAUUAAGUUUAGGAAUGGCGAGUUUGGGCAAUGAUGAGCGUGCUCAAGGCUCACAUUUAAUGUUGCCUAUAUUUGGAUAAGUGUUGAUUUUAGUUAGGAAAUUAAUUAUAUGUUUGGAACAGGGCGAGAGGAGGCUCGAGCAGAAAAGGCCUCAGAUUGACAUUAGGCUUAGGCCUAAUUUGUGAGUGGACUUUUGUUUUAAAUAUUAAGCAUGCUAUGGUUCAUGGUUGAUUAAUUUCUUUUGUUGGAGCAUUUGACGUCAUUUUAUUUUGACUAUUUUAUUUCUUUUGGAGAGUUACCGAAAAUGGGAUUUUUCGAUGAAUAUUAUUACAUAUUUAUGAGGAGAGUAUGUAUAUAAAUGCUAGCUAGCCAUAUGUGUCUGUCCACCUUAAUGACGUAAUAUAUAACCGCAUUAUGGUGUGACGUGAGCGUUAGACGUGAGCGUAGUAGCCCUAUAUGAGUGUCUAAUACAUAUAGGGGGUAUGGGCACAUAUUUAUACACCCAUCCAUCCAUUUUAAUGGCGUAGUGUAACACCGCAUUAAGACGUGACGUGAGCGUUAGACGCAAGCGUAGUAGCCUUGUAUGAAUUUCUAUUUUCUUAUAUUUCCUUCAUAGAAUUCAUAUAAGGAGUAUGGACGUGUGUAGAUACAUACAUAUAUAUUGAUGAAUUUAUAUUAUUGAGUUUGAGAGACUCGAUAUUUAAGAGAUGAAAGUUUUAUCGCUUGAGGCAUGCGUUCGAUUUCUUUCGAAAUUAAAUUGGAAAAGCAUAAAUAUUUUUACUUAUCGGUUCAUUUUAAUAAAUUUAUUUUUGUCCACUCACUCUAACAUUUUCGAAUGUUUUCCCCUAGGCCCUUCGUUUUAUAAAUGCCCAGUCUGCAGAGUUUGGGUUGGCACUAGUUACCCAUUUCUCCACCAUUUUUCACCAGUAGGUUACCUGUUUAACCUACUAAUGUAUUUUCUUGCUUCCUCUAGUUUUUAUUAGCUCUGAUUAUCCUUGGGGAUAUUGUAUAAUUUUUCGGUGGUGUGUUAAGACUUAUGUUAUAUUUUUGAAUAUUCGAAGGUUGAAGUUUGUUAUUAGAUGGAUAUUUAUAUGAUGGAUUAGAAGAUGGUUUCAUUAUUAUGUUGUGGUGGUUGUAUUGUGGGGAGCGAGUGGCUCCAGGAGUUGAGGAUGGUUGUUUGUUUUAGGAGUGUUAUCUUUGAAUUUUUCAGGUUAGGAUUGUCCAUUUUCAAGGGAGGUUAUGCCGAAUUUUUGGUAAAUUUUUCCUUGGAGAUUAACCCCGCAAGAUUUACUUCGGGUUUCAAGGUGAAAUUCGGGGUGGGUUUUAACAAACCUUCUUCUCCAAAAUGCUCCGACUACACUCUUUAAUAAGAUGAUCCAAGGAUAAGAACAUAUCCUCAAUUAGAAUUGUAAGGACCAUAACAUGUGCCGCCAUAACAAGCAUUAUCCAAAAUGUUCCCAACUGACUUACAUUGUGGAAUAAGUAGUUGGUAAAUUGGUUGUCAAUCAAUACUUCUCUAAAUUGAUAUACGGCUUUUUAUAUAGCAACGUCCUGCAACCAAGCACUAGCCACCAAAUUCCCCGUGACUAAUUAGCUCAAGAUUAGGGUCCUCAACAACUCGUAAAAGUACCUCUUAUAUUACUAUGGGUACCUCACCAUAUCACUUCUUUCACAUCCAUAAAAUAUACAACUACUUCGAACUUUCCUUCCAACUCUUCUCUCCCAAAAGUCACGUAACUCGACACCAAGAUCUUUCAUCGGACUACUACAACUCCAUACUUGCCCUCCAUAAAUAGAAAACUCCAAGGAAUGAUUCAAACGUUUCACCCACUACAGAUUCGCGCAAGAUGCCCAACCUAGCAUCUUCAUCAUAACUCAAUCGAUCGUUGAACCAAAAGAAAGAAAUGUUGUCAAGCUUGUGAGUUCCCAACUUGAGUCCCAACUCGCAACUAAAUUUUAACAAUUUAUGAUAUCAAAUCAAUAACCCUUGGAAAAGACCUAAUCUAAACACCUUUUUAUUACUCAAAGCAGGAUGAUCACUGAAGAGAUCGGCGUAUGGAGACAUAGUCUUGAAGAUAUAGACAUUUAUAGCAUCAUACUGUCCAAAAAUAAGACUAGAACGACUACCCCACAAACCUAAUCAACACAUAGCAUCCAAAGCAUAUAAUGCUAAUGGAUUCGCCGCGGUUAGACCAUCACUCUAUACACACUAAGUAUGACCAAGUAAAUAAGGUAGUAACAAAAAGAGGAAAGAAUCGAAUAACCUAUUACUCUGAUACCAACUGUCAAGACCCACCCUGAAUUUCACCCUAAAAUCCAAAGUAAACCCUGCAGAGACCACCUCCGAAGGAGAUGCUACCGAAAAUCGGCCAAACCUCCUUUGAAAAUGGACAACCCUUUCUGAAAACACCUGCAAACACUUCUAAAAAUCCAAAUCCAACAUUAUACUCCUGGAGCUUUCGUGCUCUCCAAUUUAUUUACUAAUCUAAAAAAAAUCCCACAACCAACAUUUAUAGGUUCAGAGCAACUCUAAUAGUGAAGGAAUGAAACAAAAAGAUAAAAAUAAGCAGAAGCUAUAUUAUGGACUAUGCCUCAACUCCAUGUACACCCGAUCUCAACUAAGCUAACCUGCUAACUGGGCAUUUAAAACUGAAAGGCCCAGGGGAGAAGCAUUUGAAAACGUUAGAGUGAGUGGACAAAAAAUAAAGUUCAAAAGGAACAAAUAAUUAACUAAGAUUUUAUGUUUUCUCAAUUUAAUUUCUAUAGAAAAACUAUGAUGCAUGAUAUAAGCUCAAAAGUUUUUAACUUAAAAACUGGCAAAUACGUGACUAGCCCCGCUAGUCUCCAAAACUUUUUAAUAUAACUCUCAAGCUAUAGUAUAUAAGUAUGUAUUUACAUACGUCAUACUCCUUAUAUGAAUUCUUGUGAAAGAUAGAAAUUCAUACAAGACUACAACAUUUGCGUCCCACGCUCACGUCACACCAUAAUAGGAUUUCAAACGCUACAUCAUUCUGACAGAAAAAAAUGGUGUAUAUACGUGCAUAUCCCCUAUAUGAAUUCCUACAUUCAUAUAGAGCUACGACGCUUACGUCCCACUCUCACAUCACACCAUAAUGACGGCUAAUUGCUACACCAUUAAGGCGGAAAAGCACAUAUGGCUAGCUAGCAUUUAUAUACAUACUAUUCUCAUAAUUAUACAUAUAUAUCCAUCGAAAAUCCUAUUUUCAGUAACUCUCCAAAAUAAAGAAAAUUGUCAAAUGAAAAAGAAAGACGCCAUAAGCUCCAAUAACAAGAAACCGCUCACCAACAAACCAUUGCAUGCAUAUAAUUUAAAAUAAAAGUCCACUCACAGUGAUUCGGUUAUGUUAGUUGCCAAUUCAAGACUUCUCAAGUCAACCUUUCGACCAUUUUCUAUGAUGAUUCACUUUCUACUUAAUUAACACCUCAUUCUCAUUCUAAGUAUGCAGGAACGAGACCUUAACAAGAAACUAAAUCGUAAAGCCUUACACAAAUCCCAUAAUUGCCGAAAUACAUUUAACUCAACUCGAAUAGGAACUUUUCCCAAAUAAUACACCCAAAGUACUAAAGUGAGUCAAUAAAUAAUCAGAGUACUUUUAGUGUAAAUUAGGUUUAACGAGUUUGAUCUAAGGCUGGGAAAAAAACCCGAACGAAGAAAAAAGACCGAACCGGACCGGCCAGCCCGACUGGAUCGGGCUAGAUUUUUUCACGGGCCCUUCUUCAUAUUCUGCCCAUCUGGGCUGGUCCCAAAUAUACCCGGGCCGGUCCCGGUCCCUAAAUUUGAUAAAGGAUUUUGGCCCGAAAGCCCGACAUACAUGUGUCAUUCAGCAAUUCGAUAAUUUUAACGAUCUUAUACUACUAGCAUAGGUUCAACCACACAGGAUUAGUUGAAUUUCAGUAACCCUAAGUCAAACUGUCAAAGGGUCAAACACACUUUGGAAAAACAGUUUCGCCUCUUUUAGUCUCUCGAGUCCAUCUCCUCUGACUCUCUUCGCCUCUCUUAGUCUCUCGAGUCCAUCUCCUCUGAGUCCUCUUGACGAUGUCGCCGGCGUCCAUCUAUUCCUCUUGAAGCCGACCGGCGCCGAUCUCUUCCUCUCAAUCGACGACGACUAGCGCCCAUCUCUUCCUCUCGAUUGACGACGACCGGUGCCCAUGUCUUCCUCUCGAUCGACGAUGACCGGCGCCCAUCUCUUCCUCUCGACGACAGCGCCGGCGCGCAUCUCUUCCUCUCGAUGUCGCCUGCGCUCAUUUCCUCCUCAGUUGUCCACCGCCUCUGCCCUCCGGUAAGCCUUCGCUUCCAUCUCUAUUAGUUAUGUCCUUACUUGAUUUAUGUCCAAUUAGUUGCCUCCGAGCAUUGGAAUAGUAUCGAAUUCAGUUUCAAUGACAACAAUAAUGGAAUGUAGAAAAGUAGGGGGAGUUGAAUUUGAGGAGACCUAGUUCUAAGGGCCUCUCAGGUUCAUUUGGAAGAAUUGUGCAUUACAUUAGGCUUUACUGCUUUAGGAUGCAAUGUGCCAAUGUCAGUGGAUAGGAGAGAAAACUUAUGUUAUGCGGCCAUUAUGAUGAUGAGGUUAGUAGAAUUGAGCAUUACCUUUUAGUUUAGUAGACAACUACAAUCGAUUCUAGAUCAGGACGUAUGUUAUGCGGCCAUUAUAAUGAUGAGGUUAUACGAAAAUCAACCAACUGCAUGACUUUCGUAAUGCUGAACUUGAUUGCUUUCUGAAUGUAUUUAGAAAUAACAACUUAUUAACGUACUGCUUAUAAGAUACUUAAGAAAAUGGUGGACAGUUUUCAUAAGAAAAUUGUUGUUUUGUUUUUUAUUUUGUUUGUUGUUGUUUUGUUGUUAUUGUGGUUGUUGUGAACUUGUGAUAGUGAGACAAUACGGCUAGCUGGUUGUGUACUUGAGUUCAUGCAGGUGUGAUGUCGACGUCUUCAUCACAAUAUGGCUACCAUUCAUGCAGUUCUAGUAGUGAGACCGGGUGUUACGACUCAGAAGAAGACAUUGAAGAAGUACCAGCUCACACUCAGACAUGGAAUGAUUUGGUUGCGGCGGAGGCUGAGAUGCUAGAGAACAAGGAGCCAGAACGGGAACCAAAAGUUCCAAUUGAGGUUGUAGAAGAAGCACCAGCAGCAACUGAGAUUUCGCGGGGUGUGCCAAAAAAAGGAGAGGUUCUGCCUCAACUGGACCUAAGGCUGCUUCAAAAUUAACGUCAAUGGUGUGGGAGCAGGAAGUAUGACAAAGAACUCUUCACUCAUCGAGAUGGGAAGAAAGUGUACACGGGGCAUGAGAAACGUGCAACAUGCGUGCAUUGUGGUGCUGACCUGAAAGCAGGUUCUUCCUUUAAUGGUACGAGUACUUUGCGUAGGCAUGUGCAGAAGGUAUGCAAGAAGUAUCCUGGUAGGGAGAGUAUAGACGACGAUCAAGCUGUGAUAGUUGGUGAUGCCCGUGAUGGUGAAGUUGAACCUGAAAUGGGACUGCAAUUAGUGUGGACCAAUGACUGUUGUAUACAAGCUGCUUGUGAGAUGAUUGUGAUUGAUGAGUUGCCGUUCAACCAUGUUGAGAAUGAAGGGUUUAGGCAUUUCUACAAGGUAGUUGUCUCGCAAUUCACUUCACCAUCUAGGAGAUCAAUAGUAAGGUGCUUCUGGAAGUUGUAUGAUGAGAAGAAAGAGGUGCUUAGGAAGGUGUUAAGUAGUCACAGGGUGUGCUUAACGACAGAUACUUGGACUUCAAUUCAGAACAUCAACUAUAUGGUGUUGACAGCGCACUUUAUAGAUGCUGGUUGGAAUUUGCACAAGUGAAUCAUCAACUUUUGUGUGAUUCCCAAUCACAAUGGCACAACAACAAGAAAGAUUUUAAAAUCUUGUUUGCUGCGUUGGAGGAUAGAGAAGGUGUUGACUAUCUCGGUCGAUAAUGCAAAUGCAAACAAGGUGGCGAUAGACUACAUUCAAGGGAAAAUGGCUGCAUGGAAAGACCCACCGGUGUUUGGAGGAAAGCACAUUCAUGUGAGGUGUAUGGCUCACAUCUUGAACAUCAUAGUGAAGACUGGUUUGUCCUUAAUGGAUAAAAGUUGUGCAGCAAUUAGGAAUGUAGUCAAGUAUAUUAGAAGUAGUUCUAAUAGAUUGGAUGCGUUCAAGCUGUGCAUGGAGAAAGAGACAUUAGAAGGGAACAUAGACACAGAAAAAAUACCAGCGUGAUAUAGAACAGCUUGCACAAACAUUUAAGACACAGCUUGCUAGGAAGGCAAAGAAAACAAAGUCAAAGCAGCAGCUUUGAAUCUGCAAAGCAGUAGCUUUGUUCUUGCAUAUUUUCUAUCAGCAUUAGGAUUAUUUUACUUUCUAUGUUUUCAUUAGGAUUUAAGUUUUAUUUAGAAUAAAGGAUUCCUAGUUCUAGUAUGAUUAGGUUUAUUUCUAUGCCUAUAUAAGGCCCCUGCUAAAUUGUAUUUUCAUGCAAGUUAUCAAUAAGAAAACCCAAAAAAAUUAGAGUAAAAACUAUUGUGUUUUAGGUUUGUGCCUGUGUUUUGCUAGUGGAUUCUAGCUUACUCCAUAAGGUUUCGACGCUUGACGAAACCUUGUUUCUAUCGUGAUUACGCUUCCGUAUCACAGCGCCUUAUCUUCCAAGAUGGAAUUCUACCUUUUUAAUGUUAGACAUUGCUUUAGAUGUGAAGCCAGCUUUUGAUAGGAUGGCUGCGAAGGAAAUGAACAAGUAUAAAAGCUAUUUUGAUGAAGAAGAUGAGCUCGAGAAGGAAGAAGAACAAGAGUAUGUUUCGGUGACACCAACAACAAGAAAAACAAGAGUUGGACCACCACAAGAGGAUGAUUGGGCAAAGGCUAAAAUAUUUGUGUUGAUCUUGAGGGUUUUUUAUAAUGUGACAAUGAGGAUGAGUAUGACUAGACAUCCCACUGCUCAUAAAGCAUUUCAUGACAUUGUAACAAUAGAAUGAGAGAUUAAUGCAUUGUUUGCACCUGCGGCUGGAAUUAAUACUAAAGUGGAAUUGCUAAUGUUGAAGAUGGCAGAAAAGAUGCUUGCCAAUUUUAAAAAAUAUUUUGGACGUAUUGAAGACAUGAAUCAGGUUCUGUAGGUUGCAUUGGUAUUGGAUCCUAGGUUCAAGCUGAAGAACAUAACUCAUACUUGCCUACAAAUGCUCCAAUAUUCAGAUGAGGAAGCAAAAGCCAAGGCCAACUCUGAAGAACAUAACUCAUACUUGCCUACAAGUGCUCCAAUAUUCAGCUGAGGAAGCAAAAGCCAAGGCCAACUCUAUUAAGGAGCUCUUGGUAUCCAUAACUGACAUCUAUAGAACAUCAUCCAAUGCAUCAACCACUGGCAAUGCAUCUUCUAAGAGCAGCACUGCAGCAAGUGUCGUUUUUGGCAGCACAAAAGAAACAACCUCAUCAUCUUCCAAGUCGAAAAUGACAGGGAAAAUGGCUGACUUGUUGGAAGGUAGUACCUACUUUCUGUUUAUGUUUAUAACUUUAUAUACUACUUUCAAUGUUAUAACUUAAUUUGUGAUGUAUUCUCUUUUUGUUGUAGGGUGGCAAAAAGCUUUAGCUGAAUCCGACGAAGUAGUUGUUGUUGAGAGUGAAGUUGAUAGAUACCUACUUGAUCCAAUCGAGGUUCCACCAAAACAAGAAGCAGAUAGUUGGUGCCUACUAAGUUGGUGGAAGACAAAUGGUUGCAAGUAUCCAAACCUUGCUCUUGUGGCAAAGGAUGUACUUGCUAUCUAGGUUAACACAGUUGCAUCCGAGUCCUCCUUCUCUACUGGAGGUAGAGUGAUUGACCCUUUUAGGAGUUCUUGAACUCCUAAAACAGUGGAAACAUUGCUUUGCUUGCAAAAUUGGAUAAAGAAAAAGGAUCAGUCCGAAAUUGAGUAUUAUCUAAGCCAAGAAGAGAUUGAGUUUUAUGAAAAGAUGGAAAGAGGUAUGUUUGCAUCAUUGCAUUCUUUAGAUUUUAUUAAUAUUAUGAAUUGGACUUGAUUUAUUUCAUUCUUUUGAACUUUGUUUUAGAUGAUGCAAAGCGAAAGACAAAGGAAAAGAAGGCAAAGGGAAAAGGAAAAGGAAAAGGAAAGCUUGUGGCUACAUCAGAAACAGAAAGUGAAGAUGAAGUUGUGGUUGUGGCUGCAUCAGGUCCCUCACAACCCAAGAAACUGAAGAAAGCAGCAAAAAUUGCUAAAAAAAGUGACGCAUCAGGUCCUUUUACUCCACUGCGACAUUAUCAAAAAAAAUGUUUCAGCUCCUACUGAUGUCCAAGCCAAGUCCCAGCCUGCAAAACUUAAACAGAUGGUUCUUGCAUCGAAGAAAUCGAAAGGUAUAAUUUUAAAUUUUUAAUGUUUCAUGGUUCAUGACUUCAUGGUUUGAAGCUGUCCAGGUUUUUAGUGUUAUUAAUGUUAAAUUGUUAAUGUGUUAUACACUAACUUGAAGUCAUGGAGCUGCUUCGUUUGUAUGGUUUAUUGGUUUGCAGUUUGCAGUUUGCUUGUUCAUAGACUUGUAUCAGUUUUAAAGUUUUAUAACUUUAUCUUUUUGAGUUGCUGACUUGUUAUGAGUUUGUCUUGCUUACUUGCUUAUAGCUAUGGGUUUGGCAUUUUAGAAUUUGGAUUUUUGGAUUGUAAGGCAUUAAGGCAUUUGCAUUUUUGCCAUAUAAACUUGUUAAGUUAUGACUUAUGAGUUUUCAGUUAUGACUUAUGAGUUCUGACAACUCAAUGAACUCACAUCUGCCUUGCAUAAUUUCAUUUUACCUUUCAUUUACAAGGCAUUUUCAUUUUACCUUUCAUUUACAAGUUGACUUAUGAGUUCUGACAACAAUGCAAUUUAUGCACUUAUGCAACAGGUAUUGUUUUGUGUUGUACUUUAACAAAGAUGUAUGUAAGCUUUUUGUGUAGAUUAUGUAGCAGUUUAUGCGAUUAUGCAGCAGUUAAUGCACUUAUGCAACAGAUUUUCAGUCACAGUGUGUGAGAUGAUUUAGGCCCGAAAACCGGUAGGCUCAGCCCGGCCCGUAACAGUCCGGGUUUUGACCGGUCCCUCAUCUGCAGACAACAAAGCCCGGCCCGGUUCUGGUACACCUAGUCCGGUCCCGGUCCUAGUAAAUAGUCUGCCGGUCCGAGCCCGUGCGCAGCCCUAGUUUAAUCCCAUUUGGUCUUUAGUCCUUAAACAACAUACGUAAAUAUCAUAUUAGCAUUCUUGAAUGAACCCGCUUUUGAGUGUCAUUCCAAGACAUGAUUCAUGUAAUUGACCAUACUUGCAAUUGUUUCAUACCUUAAAUAUAGAUCCCACUUUAGUUUAACCACACUACCAAUUAUACUCAAAAACAGCUAUUGUCCAAACUCCUUAUUACCAACUUCUUCCGAGAAUUCAUACCCCAAUACAAAAUAUGUGAAUGUAAUAAAAAUGUCCACUUAAAUAACCGAAGCCAAUUCUCCAUAAAACUUAUCAAUUUGAUCUUCCCCCACACUUCCACAAUAUUGUUCAUUUAUCAGCAAUGCAUUAGCCAUUCGAGAAGCAACCACACAUCAUAACAAUCAAAACAAACAACUGGAAUCACAAACACCUCAAGCACUACAUUUUGGCAGAAACCAACACUUUUUCUUCUUUUCCAAAUAAGAGAAUAACUUAGUUGCUGGAAACCCCCACCAACAGCCGAAACUCUACCCGUAGUCUCUCUCAUCUCCAGGACCUCAGAAUUCCACAACCUCACAAACCCUCAAUUAAACGAUAGAAUUAGGAUCUUAAUCUAAACCAAAACAUAACUCUCAACCAAGAAAAAUGAAUCAAAUCCAGCUUACCAGGUCAAAUGGACAAGCUGGUGAAGCUUUCGGCGGCGUCCGGGCAGUUGUGGUGAUCUACGUGCCAUCGCCGUCAUUCAGCACCAGCGAGGACAAGGCUUCUGGGUUUUGUUGUGUGAUUUCCUCCGAGUUUGUUGGCGACGACGAUGAAUAGAAUAGCCACAAACAGAGCUUCAGCUAGGCAAAACGACAAGGACUGUUGUGACGCGUGCGGCGGCCGGCGACCAAGCUCAGUGAGUGUCGCCAAAUUGUCAAAUCAGAAUUCGUUGAUGGCUCGAUGGGUGGUGACCGUGAGAGGAGGUUGUGGCUGGAGCGAUGGUUUCUAGUGGUAGCAGUGACAAGAGGAAGGAGAGAUGGGAGGGAGGAAAGAG
rnacentral:lncRNA from 1 species